rnacentral:lncRNA from 1 species
GAAUGUCUGAGAAGAGGAGGACCUUGACUGCUCCUGAACCGGAGACCUCAGAACCAUGGUGCUCUCCUGUCCAGGCUGAACACUAAUGCUCUUGAGAGUCACAUUGAAGAAAGCCAACAUUUUUAAAUCUAAUGGAUACAUUCAUUUUGUGGUAUGUGAUGUUUAGAAAGAGGGAGCUAAAGUUAGUGGUCAUGAGCUAAAUACCCUGUGAGCAUCUUCACUCUCCUUCUGUAUCACAGACUAAAACCCACUGACUUGAUCAUCUGUCCCUUGCCCCUCGUCCACAUAGUGAACUUCUUCAUUGCACUGUUAUUGCAGUCUCCAAACCUGUUUGCAUCAUUGAACUUCAGAAUGACUUCAAGUUAGUAACAGGAUCUUCUACACUGUAGCUGCUUCCAGUGUGAGCCAGACAAAUGUACUGAAUAUAGGCCUCAGAGGUGAUCCCACCACCUUCACAGCAAUGGUCCUUCCCCAGGAGCUUCCCCUGAGAAAUGGGCCAUCCAGACCAUACUGCUGCUGGUAAGUUUCUCUGUGGUCCUCUGUUGGGUGGAUUUCAUCAUCUCCUUCUCCUCAGCAAUGUUGUGGGCAUAUGGCCCAAUCAACCAGCAAGUUCAGAGUCUUGUAGUGAAUGUCUAUGCCAUGAUCAGUCCUCUGGUGCUCCUCAGUUCAGAUAAAAGAAGAACCAAUAUUCUGAAAAAUACACAACAGAAG